UACGUAGGGGGCAAGCGUUGUCCGGAAUUACUGGGCGUAAAGAGCUCGUAGGUGGUUUGUCGCGUUGUUCGUGAAAACUCACAGCUUAACUGUGGGCGUGCGGGCGAUACGGGGCAGACUGGAGUACUGCAGGGGAGACUGGAAUUCCUGGUGUAGCGGUGGAAUGCGCAGAUAUCAGGAGGAACACCGGUGGCGAAGGCGGGUCUCUGGGCAGUAACUGACGCUGGAGGAGCGAAAGCGUGGGGAGCGAACAGG
rnacentral:rRNA from 1 species